UGGACUGAGAAGGUGAAUCUCAUCCCCAGGCCCUGGUUCAGGGAGUGGAGGCCAUUCUUCAGCACAACUGGGAUGCCCUGCUCCAGGCUCUGCAGCAGCUGAGACUGUCCAUCCAGGACUUCACCAGUGCCCUGGCACAGAUGCAUGAUUAUGUAGACCCAGACAUGUUUUACUCAGUCAUCCGGAUCUUUCUCUCUGGAUUGUGACUACCACAGCUGCUAAUCUGGGAAAAUCAUGGAGAAGUCGGCCCCAAAAUGCCCAAAGAUAACAACCUGGAUCCUGGAAGCAUUUGCAACCUCAGCAGAGUUUGGGGAAGGUCAAGGACACAAGCUGAGGCGGAGUCUGCAUGUGGCUUUGAAAUGUGCAGGGGCCCUGUGCGCCUUUUCAGACUCACAGGAAGUGGAGACAUCUGUGUGAAUCUGCUGUUUACUCUGCCAUGCGAAGUAGACAGCUCCUCCCCAGACAAA